rnacentral:rRNA from 1 species
UACAGAGGGUGCGAGCGUUGUCCGGAAUCACUGGGCGUAAAGGGCGCGUAGGUGGCGCGACAAGUCAGUGGUGAAAGUUCGACGCUCAACGUCGAAUCGGCCACUGAUACUGUUGGGCUUGAGCACUGUAGAGGCUAAUGGAAUUCCGGGUGUAGCGGUGGAAUGCGUAGAUAUCGGGAGGAACACCUGUGGCGAAAGCGGCUCACUGGACCACAACUGACGCUGAGGCGCGAAAGCUAGGGGAGCAAACAGG